rnacentral:lncRNA from 1 species
CCUGGGUUGAAUUGAAGUUUGGUUCAUUUUGUUCUCUCUUUUUCUAUUAAGAUAGGUUUUCAGCGUUUGAAUAGGUUUUGUGCUUUCCAAUAGGUUUUACUUAAUUGUCGUAACACGCAGCAAUAAAAUAGGUACCGUUAAUGUUAUUACUCACGUAUAAAUAUCAGUCUUUUAAAGUCCAAUAAGUGUGAGUCUCCUAUUUUAUCG